UACAGAGGAGCCAAGCGUUGUCCGGAUUGACUGGGCGUAAAGCGCACGUAGGCGGUCUUUUAAGUCGGGGGUGAAAUCCUGGAGCUCAACCCCAGAACUGCCUUCGAUACUGGAAGACUCGAGUCCGGGAGAGGUGAGUGGAACUGCGAGUGUAGAGGUGAAAUUCGUAGAUAUUCGCAAGAACACCAGUGGCGAAGGCGGCUCACUGGCCCGGUACUGACGCUGAGGUGCGAAAGCGUGGGGAGCAAACAGG
rnacentral:rRNA from 1 species